rnacentral:rRNA from 1 species
AGUCGACGGGGGUGCCAUGAACGAAGCAUCAGUUUACUGAUAUGGAGGGAAUGGGACCCUAGUGGCGGACGGGUGAGUAACGCGUGGGUAACCUGCCCCAUACCGGGGGAUAACACUUAGAAAUAGGUGCUAAUACCGCAUAAGCGCACGGUACUGCAUGGCACAGUGUGAAAAACUCCGGUGGUAUGGGAUGGACCCGCGUCUGAUUAGCUUGUUGGCGGGGUAACGGCCCACCAAGGCGACGAUCAGUAGCCGGCCUGAGAGGGUGGACGGCCACAUUGGGACUGAGACACGGCCCAAACUCCUACGGGAGGCAGCAGUGGGGAAUAUUGCACAAUGGGGGAAACCCUGAUGCAGCGACGCCGCGUGAGUGAAGAAGUAUUUCGGUAUGUAAAGCUCUGUCAGCAGGGAAGAAAAUGACGGUACCUGACCAAGAAGCCCCGGCUAACUACGUGCCAGCAGCCGCGGUAAUACGUAGGGGGCAAGCGUUAUCCGGAUUUACUGGGUGUAAAGGGAGCGUAGACGGCAGGGCAAGUCUGGAGUGAAAGGCGGGGGCUCAACCCCCGGACUGCUCUGGAAACUGCCAGGCUGGAGUGCAGGAGAGGUAAGUGGAAUUCCUAGUGUAGCGGUGAAAUGCGUAGAUAUUAGGAGGAACACCAGUGGCGAAGGCGGCUUACUGGACUGUAACUGACGUUGAGGCUCGAAAGCGUGGGGAGCAAACAGGAUUAGAUACCCUGGUAGUCCACGCCGUAAACGAUGAUUACUAGGUGUCGGG